CAAGAGUUACUGAAUGUAAUUUCUGUAAUUCAAUUGCAUCAUCCUAACAAAGCUAAUAGCAACAAGAAAAAAAAUCCUUCUGAGAAGAGAAAAAAAUGCUCAGAGCAGUUCACUGAUUCUUAGCAUUAUCUGUUUUUUGUUUUUUUUAUUUUUUUUACACAAGGUGGAAUCACUCUAAAUUGAAGAAAUAUUGGCUGUCAUGGUCUAAUGAAUACCAAAUGAGACAUUAAACUGUAACUCAGGAACCUCAUGGGUGUUCAUAAAUGUGUGUGCUUUCCAUUCAAGCCCACACAAAAACACUCAUAAUGAAUGUGUUCUCAAGGACUCAUUAUGAUGUUUACAGGCGAUCUAAUCAGGAACUCCGAGGCACUUACAUUUAUCUCCCACUAUCCUCUCUAUGUUCUUCACACACUAACUAGAAUGUCGUGGUUUACAAACUAGGAAGUCACUGCCUUCUGUCUGAUGAAAAAUUCUGGAGAGCUGGGGUCAGAAAAAAAGAAAAGUCGUAAGCGGAUCCCCCAAACAGAAUGCCCCAGGAAUUCACUUUUGUGCUUAGAAGAAGGACAGGAAAAGUAACCAAAACCCCAGCCUAGGUCAAGUGCAGUGACUCACACCUAUAAUCCCAGCACUUUGGGAGGCCAAGACGAGCAGAUGACCCAAGGUCAGGAGUUUGAGACCAACCCAGCCAACAUGGCGAAACCCUGUCUCCACUACAAAUACAAAAAAAAAAAAAAAAAAAGCCGGGUGUGGUAGCGGGUACCACCAGCUACUCUGGAGGCUGAGACAUGAGAAUCUCUUGAACCUGGGAGGCAGAGGUUGCAGCAGGCCAAGAUCAUGCCAGUGCACUCCAGCCUGGGCAACAGAGCGAUACUCCAUCUCAAUAAAUAAAUAAAUUAAUACAACAAAACUCCAGCCUA
rnacentral:lncRNA from 1 species